rnacentral:rRNA from 1 species
CCUACGGGCAGCAGCAGUGAGGAAUAUUGGUCAAUGGACGAGAGUCUGAACCAGCCAAGUAGCGUGAAGGAUGACUGCCCUAUGGGUUGUAAACUGCUUUUAUAUGGGAAUAAAAUGUCUCACGUGUGGGGUUUUGUAUGUACCAUAUGAAUAAGGAUCGGCUAAUUCCGUGCCAGCAGCCGCGGUAAUACGGAGGAUCCGAGCGUUAUCCGGAUUUAUUGGGUUUAAAGGGAGCGUAGGUGGAUUGUUAAGUCAGUUGUGAAAGUUUGCGGCUCAACCGUAACAUUGCAGUUGAAACUGGCAGUCUUGAGUACAGUAGAGGUGGGCGGAAUUCGUUGUGUAGCGGUGAAAUGCUUAGAUAUGACGAAGAACUCCGAUUGCGAAGGCAGCUCACUGGACUGGAACUGACACUGAGGCUCGAAAGUGCGGGUAUCAAACAGGAUUAGAUACCCCAGUAGUC